ensembl:lncRNA
AAGAAGGGAGGCUUUGCCGAAAGAUCGUUGUGUGCUUGCGGACAUAAGACAUAACAGAUCUUAUCUUUGUGCGUAGAAUCAUCAGCUGGCUGGAUGAGAGCAAGGGGACCAUGGAAUGAAGUGACUAUCGACGGUCUGAUAAAGUCCAGCUUUAGCGAUGAGCACAAAACAUCUGGAUCCCAGCGGGGCCCAAACAUCUGCUAGGAGCCGGCUGGGAGGUGGACGAGGAAGAGGAGCAGGAAGGAUGGGGUGCGCAUCAGGGACGUGAUCCAGACGGGUCUACACAUCCAUAUUUCAUCAUCUAACUGUCCUCACCUCUCCUGUUUUAAUGUAACCUUUCUGUGAUGUUUUUGUUUUUUUCAAUUGUGUCUUGAUGUAAAGUGUUUUUCAAAAACUAAAACUGCUAUACAAAUAAAAAUGUAUAACAAUUUUUAUUAUCAUUAUUUUUUUUAUCAUUAUUAUUAUUAUUAUGUUGUAGGGGUCAGUGGAAAACAGGGCAGUGAGUUUGAG